UACAGGAAAGAAUAAACAAUCCAGAAAAAGAGAAUGAACUCUUGAACAAAAACUAUGAUAAGCUGCAUAAGUGUCUUCUGUAUGACCCAUGAACAGCAAUGGAAAUCAAAGGAACAGCAAAUGAAACUGCAAAUUGCUAAACUAGAGAUGGCUAUCAAAUCUGAUUUAGCAGACAAAAAUGCAAUUCUUGACAAGAUCAAAGUAGAAAGAGUUGACAACUUCUCAUUGUUUCCUGUGCUGCAUAAGCAAUACCAUUGUUUAAGGACAUAAUGAAGAUGGGCCGUAACUCUUCAGGUUUUGAACUUUAGUAAGUUUUACUGUUCAAGGGGUGUUAUAAAGACUGUGAGUUUAUCCUUUUAUGUAGCAUAUGGGACAGGAGGUCAAACAAGAAAAGCUAGCAGAUGAUAAGGUGGAGAUGGCUGAGGAAAUUUAACAGGAGACAGAAAAGCUCUCACUUCUGUCAGAGGAGCAGUUAGCUGACCAAACAUCAAUUGCUUCUGGAAAUGAGAGAGAAAUAACUGAAGAAUUGGAACCAGAAGGUAGAAUUUGUCUUUAUGAAUAAGUAACUGUAUUUUGUUAAUAAAUCUAUGUCUCUUUCCAUUUUCUUAAGCAUUUCUUACAAGCAGUGGGAGCUGCCUCAUUAUGAGAAGCUCCAUGACAGAAAUUAUAUUCUGGUGUACUCUAUAGCUGAAGCUGGGAAGUGGAUAUGGUGGUGCUACUUUCUUCCCAAAUGGAAACUGUAUCGUAAUUGAAUGCAAAAAUCAGGUAUCUGACCUAGAUUCAUAAAAUAUUAAAGGAAACCUGGCUUCUAUUUUAAAUGUCUUUAUAUUUUCUCUUAGAACUAUGCUGUUCUAAAGACUAUUUUAAUUAAUAUGCUCCUUUUUUUCUGCAGAUAACAGCCAAUGCUGCUAUUGGAAAUCCUUUCAGACAGAGAGUGGGGUAGUAUGUCUUAUCAUAUUUGUGACUUAAAGUUGUUAGAGGCAGAUUUAUUUAAAGAUUCUAAAAGGCAGGUCAUCCUGUUCCACCUCUGAGCUUAAACUGUUCAUCAUUGAAAUAAACCAAGUCACGAUACCAAGUUUACAGUAAAAGCACAAACAGAAUGCUAAAAUUUCAUGUUCAUUUUUUUGUGCUUCUGCAUAAGAAUGCAUUAGAAAAAUUGGAAAAACACGAUGUUGAAUCCCUGUUGUGUUUAUAAGUAAUUUGCUUCAGAGAAUAAAAACUGAACAUGCAUUGAAAUAAUUCAUCUGCGUACAGAACUAUUUUUUUAUUUUUAAAAAAUGAUAAAUUAUUCUUUAUGUGUUCAUGGUGUUAAACAUAAUCAGAGGAAAUCCACAAAUUCAGGCCAUAUUCCUCUAUAAAGCUAACAGUUGUUUCUACCUCAAUUCAUCACUGGACUUAUAUCAUUCCAGUCCUCAACUUUCAUCUGGCAAACACUACUUUUUUAUUUUUACAAAUCAGAAAAAAAAUACAGUUUAGAUGAAUAUAAAGAUCAUUGAUUUGCAGGAUUAAUCAUCUGCAAGGAAGAGAUGAUUUGCCUGGCACUUAUUCUUCAUUUUUUAGUAAAGCACCUAUAUUGCUAUCAGGUUCCUCAGCAAAACUCAGAUGGACUACAGUAAAGGGGUUUAACCACCUUGAUUCUUCCAGUGUUUUUCAGAUCAAGGUGCUCUUGAAGCAAUAAAAUCUGACAGAAAUUACUAUAUUAUUUCAAUUCCAUUAUCCAGUAAUAUUAAACAGCUGAGUCAUUGCUCAUGGCAAUUAUUUGGCCAGACUUUAAAAAAGCCUUUAUAAAACCUAAAAGUUUUUUUAGGUUUAAAAAAGAUUUUAAACCUAAUGCUGUCUAAGAGUAGCUUUGCUGUAUCUAACAUAAAUUUUCAGUAAAGUUAUAUAUGUACAGUAUCAGAUCGCUUCAGUAUACUUCUUUUUCUAAUAUUAUUUGUGGGCAAGUGCACUAACCAUUUUCUCUUGACUUAUUCUUAAAACCAGAAAUUAAUUACCACAAAGACAUAUAUAAAAAAAUAAGAUUACAUUUAUACAAAUUUGGAAAAUUUUCUUUGAAUGGUAUUUCAGUAGGAUAGUUCUGAAAAAAAAAAAAACAAAACAAGAAUAUUUCAUACUUUUUGAUCUAACUUUGACUGAACAAUGUUAAAAAAUAUAAAACUAGUAUGUAAAAUUGAUGACUUCUAGUACUUCUAAAAGUUAAUACUUCUCUGAUCUGUUUUAGCCUUCUUUUAAAGGACCAGGGCUGUACUGUUAGAUCCUAUCAGACUUCAUGGUUUUUAAUGUUCUGCAGUGUGAUAUCCUAGAGGUAGCUUGAUUUUUUUUUAAAUGCUCUUUUCAAGGCUGUAAGACAUCCUACAAAGCAACUAGCAGCAAGAAGCAAUUCUUUGUGUGAGAAAUAUAGCUGUUCAUUUUCUUAAGAUAUAGAAGAGGUUUCUUCAGAAAGAUGCAGAAGCAAAAAAAGAACAAUGUCAAGGGCUCAUGGUUCUCCUGGUGAAGGGCUAAGGAAGUUGAACAAUGUGGAUUAAAGUUACAUCACUUGGUUUUAUGAAGUCAUGAAUUACAUCAAAUGAAACAAUACAGCAGCUGAGUGUAGAAUACAAAUGAAACAAUUUCCCUGCAGAGGACACUGCACUGCCACUUCCAAACCCAACAGGUGGUCAGAGGAGUGACUGUAACUACAGAACUGUGCUCAGUGAUACCCCAGAAGAUGAGCAGAACUUGAAUGUGAAGAUACUGAUUUUGCUGAAUCUGUUUGAAAAAGAUAUUCCAGAAUCAAAGAAAUACCCUUGAACAAGACAUUGGUGUUUUUGAUUCACAGGAUGACAGUGCAGUAAUUGGAAAGCUCAAAGGAGCAGUGGAAGCCCUCCAUGCGCUGCCCUCAGUCGAGAGGGGAAUGCAAAGAUGACUAUGAGGCAUGAAAGGAAGUUUGCCUACAGAAGAACCUUCUCCCAGUGUAAAUACAUGCUUGAUAGUGCAUCAAAGAUGAGAUCUUUGUAAUUCCUGCAGUAUAUUUAAUGUAUAAUUUAUAUGAAAAGGAUGCUUGAUUUGUAGUUGUAAAGUUUUGUAUACUUUUCAGUCUGUUUGUUUUUAUAUUUCCCCCCUAAGGCUAAGAAUAUCUCCACAAUGGACAACGUCUUUUAAAUAAUUAAUACCUACAUGAUUGAACUACGUGCUUUAUUUGCAUUUUUAAGAUUUUUUUCCUACAUAAAACAGUAAUAAAAAUGCAAGUCAAAAUUUUAAUUUUUAAUAAAAAAACCAUAAGCCUUAGAAAACUGAUUAAAAAUACUUUUAUGUUAUCCCUAAUCACCCCGUUAAAUGGAAUGCCUGUGAUUAGCCUCAUUAAGAAUUUUAUACUGUGAAGAUUUUAUUAAAAGCAAUAUAUGAAAAUUACUUGGAUUAAUGUGUUAAUCUGCCUCUUUAAAAUGCUAAUAUCCAUUUUAUGCACAUUAAAUCUCAGUAUGUGUUUUCUUUGAUGCAUGCAGUUCCUAUCAAUUAAAUAUAAAAAAUUAGGCUAGUUGCAGGACUUAUUAAAUUACUGCACCCCUUUUUUUAAUAACUUUUACCCUUCUACUAACAUUAUAAUCAGCUGUUUAUGGUUACCAUAAUUUGAAGUUAGGGGGAGGGCAUGCGCAAUCAUUUUCUGUACAGUAGAUGAUUUACUUGCAGCCAACAUCUGUCAAAGCACAAAAAGAAGCCACAGAGUAUCAGAUUUUGCUUCACCUACUUUGGGAUUUGGGGAUGUGCAACUGUUUUGAUUUGGGUUUUGUCACUUUUAGAACUUACAUCAAACAUAUACAAUAAACUGUUGUAUCAGAAUUACUACUGUCUAGUGCGGAAAGUUAAUUUUACAGCUUUUAACCAAUCUCAGUGAAGGAUUUAAUUGAUAUUUUUAAUGGAGCUGUGAAUCAAUGCUGCAAAAGGAUUGUCUCUUGAGAACGAGGAUAUAAUACAUUUCAUUUUUUAAUUUACUUUUUUAUUUGUCAUUUUCUUCAAAGGAUGUUAUAGACUGUGGAUUUCCACUGUUUGCAAACAGGCUAUGUUUCUUCAUAAGCAUAUGUAAAGUAUUCAGAGAGAUAAGUAAUUUAUUAAAAUCUACCUAAUUUGCCGUGAUAUAUUAAAUCUCUGCUUCAGUGAUCACAGACCAUUUCAUUUAGAGAAUUAGGCAUUCCCUCUUUGUGUGAUUAAAGCUCUGGAAAAUGAGUUCUUUGCUCCUAUUUGUGAACAUUCAAAGCCUGCUAAUGGCAAGAAGAUGGAAUAGAUUAUGAGACAAUUCAUUACAGUUCAACAGAAAAAAAAACUGCUAUAAUGCAGAAAUGCAAGUAUGAAUAUCUGCAUAUAGUUUGAACCAUCUGUGCUCUAAUGGCUUCAGUAAUGGCUCUUCGUCUUCAGUAGGCUUUGAAAUGACAUCCAUACAAUAUUAAUUUGUUGAUGUACAUUAUGAGGCCAAUGGAAUGAAUAUAUUCUGACCACAGAAAUCUCUGAAUUCCAGCAUGGUCUGCUGGUUGACUCCAUUUUAGGACUUACCAUCUUCAGUAGGGCUUCUCAUCCAGACUUUGCCAAUCCUCACAGCGUUUCAUUCCUCUGGAACUUUAGGAGACCACAGACAGCUGCAUUCCUAAACCCCUCCAUUCUUCAGUUAAUGGCCAUAUGUUUGUUGUCAUUUGGGCUGGCACUUAGUUCAUCAUUUUGGCCACUAUUUCUAGCUUUUUUUGGCUCUGUGCAUCCAUAUUGUCAAUAAGACUGUUAUUAUACAUUACAAUAAUUUGAAACAGCCAGAUUCAACACUGAGAUUAACUGAGUGGCUUUUUAGAAAUUUAGUUGUGGUAUUCUGUCAGGAGGUUCUUAUUAUUCUUCUAAUACUUUGCAAACCAAACUAAAUAUCCUGCACAUAAACAAAGAAGCGAAUUGUAUUGAGUUUUUGUGUGUGACUGUUUACUGACUUGCAGGAGAACUAUGUUAACUGGUGCUUGUUUUCUUCUGAAAUAAACCAUGUGGUAAAAUUAGAAAAUCAGUGAUGUUCAUCUCACUUAAACAUUUACAGUAACACCCUUAACACUUAAUCUUCGCCAUCUGAAGUUGGAAACUUAGAAACCAAGAGUUCAUAUAUUCAUUAAACACAGAUCUCUUCAGUAAGUUACUGAAAAAUAUUCCAGUUGACAUUUGGUUACAUUGUGUUAACUGCUCUCAGUGACUCCAACAUUAACAUGUAUAAUUUGCCUCAGGUUCCUAGACAUAUUUCUUUGUAAGGCUCACUGUUACUCAGUUUCAGAUUUUAAGAAAAUAAUCCUGAUUUCUAUUCAUGUUUAUUGCUAAAACAGAUAUAAUAUUCAGCAAGGAUUUUCCCAACAGAUGGAUUGUAUUAUCUUAUGCAACAUAAACAUAUGAUCAUAGCAGAAAGUCUUGUUCUUGCAUUAAGUAGUCUGUAUUUCCAAAAAGCUCUUAAAUCUUAAUUCUAAAUGCUGCAUUGUGCAGGGAAAGUGGAAGAUGUAACCUAGUACUAUUUUGACUAGAUUUUAGCAAUUAAUAGCUUGAAUAAAACAUGCAUCUAUGUAAUCUCUAGGCUAAGGUACAAAGGAGCCAUAUUAAAACUGGGUACUACCAUGCUUUAAAGUGUUACUCAAUAAAAUUCAUUUUUGUGGCAUAGAUGAGUUUUUACUAUGGCGUAAGUUGGUCACCACAGGGGUUCUGCACAAGAUGAAAUGACAGUGUCAAAUGAUCAGUUUUGUUAUUAUAUCUUUUCACAUUUAUUGUUACAGCUUAUAGCUUUAUGAUGAUAUCUUCUGAUGUGAUAUGAUAACUGCUAUUCUCCAGGUUCCCAGGAAUGUUGAUCAAGAUGGAAAGUUUUUUAGCUCAAAUAAACUUUAUCUGUUUUAAAUGUUGCUUUUAACCUUUUAUAACCUUAACCUAGGAACAGAAGUUAUACGAGUAAAUAAAUCAUGAACCAGGUAACAGCUCUGUGAAGUCAAUCAGUCUUGCCGUAGAGUAAGUCAAAGCUUAUCUCGUUAUAUAAGAGGAGAUAUAACAUGAUAAAAUGUAUUAGUUUCAUAGAUCAAUAUUAAAGUUAAUAGUACUAUUGUUUUAAAAUGCUUUUUAUUAUUUCAAGGCAUAGUGAGACAUUAUCAUAGUUCAAGAAGUCUUCAAACAUAUCAAGACUAAAUAUUAGCUGCUAAAUUUGAUUUGAUUGUUUUGUGUUGGAACUGAGAAAUAAUUAAAAUACAGGUUUAAAAUUGUACUACAAACCAUAUUUCAUAUUUCAGAGCCAGAGAAGUAUUACAUGUUUUAAUUACAGACAGGUCUUUCUGCAGGUAAUAACAGUGACUUGUCCAUCAGUUUUUUGAGAUACUGCAAAAGAUAAUAUUUUUAUACAACUUCACCUAUGUCACUGUUUAUGUUAUAGCUCUUAGCAAUUUGACUAGAUCCUGCAACUGAUACUGGAAGAAAUUGUAUUAAAUUAAUUGCAGAAUAUGAGUUCAGGUUAGUACCUUAGUAUGCACAUGAUAAAAAUUUGCUUUUGGCACAGUAAGCCAGAUGUGUACUGGUUUUUUGCUUUUCGUUUCUUUUUGGUAUUUAUGACAAAUUUUAAUUCUUUUUCCAUCUUUUAAAAUGGGACGAGGCAACUUCUGAGGAGCUUGAAUAAUUCAUCUGUGGGUUUUAGAAGAAUUUUAAAAGUUUUUUUUUUUAUUUUUAAGGUCCUUGUUGAAUCAUACUUCAAGCUUUCAGCAUCUGGCAGCAUCAAAGUCUAACUCCUAGCAAAAUUUCAUCUCCAACAAGAGCUGCUUGUAAAUGAUCAGCAUUUUUCUAGUAUAUACACCAGAUAUUUCUUCAGCACGGUACUUGGAGUAGAAAAUGGGAAUUUAAAAACAAAACUUUGCAUUUUACAGAAUUGAUACAGCCCACACAGUAAACUUAGAAACAAUCAAGAAGAAUUGAAGACAGCCACUUGUGAGGAAGGUGGAGGCUGAGAAAUAUCAGUUCUUCAAGCAGUUGCUAAGUCUCAUGGACAGCAAUAGCUGCCUACUGAGGGCAAAUUUCAGUCCUGACUGCCAGCACCCCAGGGGCACUGAGGUGCACGAGGGUCGUGCCCAGCGAGAGAAUGCCCAGUGAUCGUGGGAGCAGGUGAUGGACCCCUCUGGGAACCCGAGUGCCAGAACUACUGUCUGCUCCUUUUCUUGGGGAUAUGGAGCCUGAAUGGGAGUGUGCCUGUUUCCUGACUGCUUGUGAGAAGUAGGAAAUGCAAAGGAAAGAAACAACUGCAAAAUGAUAACAAGCAGCUCUAGCAGGUACUGCAACAGGAUGGUCAAUCUUACUACACUUGAGAAUCAAUUCUGGCCCCACAAAAGCAGGGGAUGAAGCCUGUGUCCCCAAAGAACUACCUGACAUUUGCAUACCCCUAGAAGCAGGCUUGCAAAGUCAGUCAACUUUUUAAACAGCCCAGGAGCCAUGACGAGCUCACUAGAGUUGGAGGGCUCUCAUCCUGGAAAAUGUAAGUUAAAGACACUUUAAGUCUUUUUUUAUCAGGCUACAGUUAUUCUGAGCAUGUCAACUCUUGAAUGCUGAAGUUUCCUUGCACAGUUAAAGCACAGCACAAGAAUCAGCUCAGGCUAUGCAGAACCUUGCAAAGCUGAUCUCUUUGAAAUAUGUCCAAAUAGAUACUCAAAUCACUAUUACAACAUAAAUCAAAAAUGCUUUCCACAUUUUACAGCGUACUUCAUGUGACAAGAACAUUUCCUCUCAGUUGUGAUUCUUUUUCAAAGAGUGGAAAUCUUCAACUUGAUGAUACUUGAUGGCAAAAGAAUGUUCACUGAAGUGUGGCAUAACACUGUGGCUUGUUCACAUUCAAAUUUAAAGUAAUAAAAAAUAUGAAGGAGUGGAGGAAAGAGAUCUAUUUAUCACAUGGUUUAUCCACUAAAGCAAUUUCAACGUGUAAGCCCAAAUUUAUUCAUGAUGUUAGUGCCGUUGCAGCACAGGAGAUUUUAUCCCUGCUGCUUUUCUUCCAUGGGUGUUGCUGUCAAAGCUUCCCAGUCACCUUGGUUAAUUCAUUCCGUGUGCCAGAAGUAAUUAUCCAAACUUGCAUGCUGCCUGCCAUGCUGGGGAGCUUUGGAGUGUGUGCUAUGAUGUCAUAAGGCAGUCAUUAAUGUGACAGAGGCUACCUGGAGGCCCAUGCCAGUGAAUCACAUUCCCAUAUGAAAGGUAUUGAUUUAAUCAUUCUGAUAGCAGCCCUGUCAGAAAUGUAAUUGUCCAUUGGAAGUACAGACGCAUAAAUGGACAUCCCAGCAAAAGGCAGCAAUCUUUCUAAGUUACAUUUUACAUUUAUUCAGAUCAUUCCGCUUGUUUUCCUCCUCCUCGUGCCCCCAGCCCGAGUCUGUUAUUGAUAUAAAGGUUGAAGCUCAGGCAGCUUAACUGUUAUGUGGAGUGACCUUUACUUUUAAUAUUAAUAUAGUAUUGUAAAGUCUAUGAGACUCAUAAAUGCAAUUUUAGAAUUCAUAUGAAAUGCCAUGUGCUGAACCUAUUGCAACUUUUCCUCUAGUCCUGUGGCAGGUUGCAAACUAUGCGAAUUAAUAUGCAUCAUAUUCUUUCCCCUUUAUUUACUUAGAGAGGUUUGCAGAGCAACUUUAUCAAGAGUAACAUUAUCAAGAGCUUUCCUGCAAGCUUCUUUAUCAUAUUCACAUCCGUGUCUGCUCGACACUUGUCACUGUCAAUCAAAUGGCAAUAAUACGCAGAUGAUUUGCUCAUUUGGUUUAAUAAAAUCUCUCUGCUUAUUUGCACUGCA